UACAGAGGUCCCAAGCGUUGUUCGGAUUCAUUGGGCGUAAAGGGUGCGUAGGUGGCGCUGUAAGUCGGGUGUGAAAUUUCGGAGCUUAACUCCGAAACUGCAUUCGAUACUGCGGUGCUUGAGGACUGGAGAGGAGACUGGAAUUCAUGGUGUAGCAGUGAAAUGCGUAGAGAUCAUGAGGAAGACCAGUGGCGAAGGCGGGGUCUCUGGACAGUUCCUGACACUGAGGCACGAAGGCCAGGGGAGCAAACGGG
rnacentral:rRNA from 1 species